rnacentral:lncRNA from 1 species
UUUUUUUUUUUUUUUUUUUUUUUUUUUUUUUUAAAAAAAGAUAACAAACACCGAGUCAAUGAUCCCUACAUGGUUUUAAAGGAAAAAUUAUCAUGACAUUUUGGGUAAAAAAAAAAUACAACAUUUGAUAGAACUCAUUAAACUGGCUAUUUUUCAGGAAAAAAGUUUAAUAUAUGGCGGUAGGGGAUAGGUGGGAUGGUGAUUUCCAUAUAGGGCCAGCUGGAAAUAAAUAUAAAUUAACAUUAUAAAGUAAAUGGAGAAAACAUAAGCUAUAACUUUUUGUUAUUUUAUUAUUUAUAUGUAAGAUUUAUAGUUUUAAUUGUAUACUAUUUGCUACUGAUCCUAGGACCAGCUUAAGUAUGAGUUUUAAUUAUGAAGGGAAAAAGAACCUGAAGAUCCUAGGAUAAAAUUUUCUGGAGUUCCUACUGUGGGUCAGCAGUAAUGAACCCAUCUAGUAUCCAUAAGGAUUCGGGUUCAAUCCCUGGUUUUGUUCAGUGGAUUAAGGAUCCCACCAUGAGCUGUGGGCAGACCCAGCUCAGAUCUGGGCGUUUCUGUGGCUGUGGUAUAGGCCUGCAGCUACAGCUCCAAUUCAACACCUAGCCUGGGAAUUUCAUAUGCUGCAGGUGCAGCCCUAAAAGGCCAAAAUUUUUUUUUUUCCUAUUUUAACUAUAUGUUUCAUUUUCAACUCAUAUUCACAUUGCACUUGUUUAAGACUGGACAGAUUUUCUAGUCAUAAUUGAAAAAAAUGUUCACUGUCUCAUUUUUUAUGUAAGUUAUUUUUUCCUUAUUUUUCUGACCUGCACUGGGAAAUAAAGUCUUAAGACACAAAUGCAAAGUAUAUUAUUUCUUGAUUUAUCAGGUUAUUCUGAAUUUUAAUCCUAGCUUUCAAACUAAUAAAAAUAAGCUUUCUCAUCCUCUUAUCCCACUGCAAUCUUUGUCUUUACUUGAAUUACUUCUCUGCCAACCUAGGAUCCCUCCACUCCCUAAACUCUGAUUAGCCCAUGUCCUCCCAGGAAGUCCAGUGUGAUUAACUCUAUAGAUUUCUAAUUGCUUCUUUACAUACUUUCUAAUUUACAUGCAUAAAUUACAUAAUUUCUAAAUUACAUAAUUUCUAAUUGCAUAUUUACAUACUCAGUUCGAUGUAAUUUUACAAAGGCUCCUGAAGUUUUUUUCAAGUACAUAUUUCAGUCAUUUAAAAAAAAAAAAAAAGACUUAAUCUUAAAACCUUCUGUUUAAUUUUUGUCUUCUAUCCAAACCAGUACCUAAAUGCAGAAAACAUCAUAAAAAUCUCAUGACUAUGCCAUCUGUAUUUUGAAUGAGCAUACAAUAAUUUGGGUCAUUAUUAAAAUAGCAAAAGUCUAACUUAGGCCCAUAUAUUAUAUGUUCUCUCAGACUGAAACUGACUUAGUUACUGUCUACUCAUUUAAGACUGAAAGUCUUUACCACUGGAUCCCUAAGCUGUAUUUUCCUAGGAUAGUGAGAAAUGCAUUUUGCAAUAAGAGACAAAGUAUUUAAAAAUCAGGAUAGAUUACAUCCAUUAUUCUUGCCUCAACCAUCUAGGCUUUUCUCCCUGGAUCUCCCUUCAUUCAGAUUUUAUUCUGAAUGAAGCUAUGACUGUUAACCAAUACUCUAUUCUCUUCAUGGUGAUCAAGAGAUAUAUUCACAGGAUGAUUAAGGGCUAGGAUUAUAAUUUUCCUGGAUCAUUCUUUUUCUCAUUCCUUUAAUAUGUAAGUAUUUUUCCAUUAUAAAAUUACUACAGGAAUAUGUGCUUAUUGUUAGAAAUAAACCCAAGUAAUAAUACUCAAGUACGCAAAACAGUAAGAGUUCUUCAACCUUCCAGCAUCCCGCAUACACACUUUAUAUAAACUAAGGACAUAAUUUGGUACAUUAUUUUCCUGGCUAUUUCUUAAUGUAUUUAGAAAAUAUAAGGCAUAUAUUUUAUAUAUUUUUUAAUUUCAUAAAUUAUACAUAUACACAAUGUAUGCACAUAUAUAUACUUAUGAUUGAUGCACAGUAAUGUUUUAUUUUUUUUACAUGAAUGGGAUCAUACUGUGUACAUUAUUUUGUGACUUGGUUACAACUCAGCUUACCUUAGAGAUCUUUCCAGGAUUUUAGCCUACAAGUCAAAGUUUACAUGGUUGUUAUUACCUUUUAUCUUUAAAUACUACAGGGAGUAUUUCCUAACUUUCUACCAAUAGUAUUCUAAAAUAAAUGGAUCAUUACUUUCAGUGUCAAGGAAAAUGAGUAACUCUGCUUUCUCCAUUGUAGUAUUUCUUAAUUAAAAGUAUUUUAGCAAAUUUUCAUUCAAUUUAAUGUUAUUUUUCAUCAUUCCCAAAUGUUUAAAUCUCCUAAAAGUUUGUAUUUUAUUAAAAAACUAUAUACAGGGAGUUCCCGUCGUGGCUCAGUGGUUAACGAAUCCAACUAGGAACCAUGAGGUUGCGGGUUCGAUCCCUGGCCUUGCUCAGUGGGUUGAGGAUCCGGCAUUGCCAUGAGCUGUGGUGUAGGUUGCAGACGCUGCUUGGAUCCCGCAUUGCUAUGGCUAUGGUGUAGGCCUGCGGCUACAGCUCUGAUUAGACCCCUAGCCUGGAGAACCUCCAUAUGCCGCAGGAGCGGCCCAAGAAAUGGCAAAAAGACAAAAAAAAAAAAAAAAAAUUAAAAAACUAUAUACAUACACAUAUUUAGUAAAUCAAAGUCUAAAAUUAAUAAAGACUAAAAGUUUUAUGAAAAGCAAAAGCAAUAUAAUAUAGCAAAUUUGCCCACUGAUUAGAAAAAUCAGACACAUACAAUAAAUUUUCUGACUCACUGAGGCAAAUUGUACAAAAAUACAGAGAAACUGAUGAAAAAAUGUUUUACAGCAUUCUUAACAGCUUUAAAAAGAAACAAAAUCUUUAAAAACCAUUUAUCAAUAUACUUAGAAUAUAGAAAACACAAACAGCAGGAGCACCAGACCAGAAAAGCAACAUAAAAUUAAAUUAAAAUUGAAUUAUGUGGAUCUAGUCUCCUCUCAUACACAUUAAGUAUAGUGUAGUAUUGAGACUGCUACUUGUGUAACAGACAAAAUAUUGCUUUAUUCUUCAAACUAGAAACAGGAGUCAGUUUGUUAUCAAGAGGAUAAGAAACUAACAUCUACUAAGAAUUUACUAAUCUUAAAAAAAGUUAAAUUGGAUCAUUUAAAUAAGAUAUGCAAUAAUAUAACCUGUUAGGAUUUUUUAGCAAAAAAUAUCUUAAAGGAAGUUCUAUACUACUUCUAGAAGAAAGUAACUUCAUUUUUAGACUUACAUGAAAUAAUUAAAUGUUACUACUUCCUAAAUGAAAAAAAGGAAUUUAUAAGGAGCGGCUUGAUUUAGGAAGGCCUAUAGCUACACAAAAUCAUUGCCAUUAUUACUGGCAGUAUUUGUAGCUGAUAUGAGCUUCCUGAUAUAUAGUGAGCUGAAUGCUAUAGCUUUAAUUGAAGUUUGAAUGUUAUAAACAGUUAGAUGUCUGGCUCUGGCCUGCAUUCUAAUACCAUCAGCAGAACAGAGAUGGGAAGCAUAAACAAACCUUUUAACUAGAUUACAGUCUCUAAAAUGGCCAAGAAAUCCUUCAGCACAACUCCUGUGUGACAAAUAUGGAGGAAGGAAAAUGAUUUUGAAAUAAUGCUAAAAAACAGCCUCUAAAUUUCUGUCAUUACUGGAACAUGUAUUUGAUUUCCCAAGUAUUUUGAUGCUGCUUAAUAUUCAGUAAUGAUAAAAACUUUAUAUUUACUUUCCAAAUAAACAAAAAUCCUUUAUAUCUUACAAAGCAGCUGGUUUUUAGAUCAGUAUAUCCCAAGGAAGCUAUUUAAAAAUCAAUACUUUCUUUUGUGGAAUGUGGAAUACUUCCCUACCAAACACCAGUGAGUGUAUGUAUACAGUAUACAGCCUACAUUAUUAUUUUUAGAUUACUAGUAAUACUAAUUAACAUUCACCAGAUUAGUAGACACUUAGGAACUCAAGGCGUAUAGAAAACGAUAGACUUGAAUACCAGGAAGAAUCAAAUUACAAUUUAGCAUCAGCCAACCUUAAAAAACAUUUUACAUUUACUUCUAACUUCUGAGGUAUAGACAUUAAGUUUUCUUUAAAAAGGUAGCAAAAGACUGUAAGUUUUAACUCUAGUACCAUAGAGAAAUUUGUCCUCCUAUUGCUGGAAUCUUAGUUGGUGGCAUAGGACUCAGUGAUGCAUGGAUGUGCAAAAUUUUUUCACCAGUGGUAUCCAAUUAAUAUAACUCAUUUUAGCCCUUUAAAACAAUACAUUCUAAUAAAUUACUCAAAGACACAGAAUUUAAUUACAAGUUCUCUAAGAAAAGGUUAUUAUAGAGGUCAACCGAAAUAAGGACUCAAAUCAGGAUUACUCACAACCAACUUUUUUUUUUUGUCUUUUUGUCUUUUUAGGGCUACACCCAUGGCACAUGGAGGUUCCCAGGCUAGGGGAUCUAAUCGGAGCUGUAGCUGCGGGCCUAUGCCAGAGCCACAGCAACGUGGGAUCCAAGCCGCGUCUGCGACCUAUAUCACAGCUCAAGGCAACACUGGAUCCUUAACUCACUGAGUGAGGCCCUGAUCAAACCUGCAACCUCAUGGUUCCUAGUCGGGUUAGUUAACCAUUGGGCCAUGACGGGAACUCCCCACAACCAACUAUGAACGCAGUAUGUGUUUUUUGCCAGGUGAUUUUCCUUUCUGUUAUGUCCAGCUACAUUAGAAGAUAAUACAUUAAUAUAUUUUAAGCCUGGUUUGCACCUUGUCUCUCUGAAGAGCUAUACUGAGUCAUUCCAACUUCUAUAAUCUUACAUGAUAUAGAAAUACCUCAAACAGAAAUGCUGAAGAGUUAGAAUCUCCAUCUUUAACUGAAUUAACUUUAGGUUAUCUAAGGAGAUUACUCAGGACCAAAUUCUAUCCUACUGAUUAUUGAGAUUGGCUUAAACAUAAAAACCUUUCUGAAAAAUGAGAUGACACAUUAUAGAUUUUUUAGCAUUUAAAAAUAUUUCUAAACUCUACAGGUCAUGAUGCACUGGCAUAAUGUUUAUAGGGUAGUAGAGUCAAUGUAAGCAUACAGUAUGAAAUGCAUUUACUUAGGACAGAUAUGAAAGUUAUGUCAUUAAUAAAACAGAAUUUAAAAAAAAACCUCUUUUCUCUAAAAGGCAGAAGAUUAAAAAUCAACAUUUGUUGGCUGGAUUAAAAAGUAUCGUAAUUCAGUAGCUGCUUUGAAGAACAACUAUAUAGUAAUUUAGGCAUCAAGAGAAUCCAAGAAGUUGUCCAUUCUUAUACUAAAAACAUUUGAGUUUAAGUAAUACUAAAAAGAGUACAUUAAAUUUAAUCCUAUAAAGGCAAUGUAGUAAUUAUAAAAUACUGUAAGACAGAGGUGCAGAAAGUAUGUGUAUAUACACCAAAGCAUUAGGCAAUAUAAACUCCCCUUUGUUUAUAGGUUUUCCAUUAUCAACAGUUAUAUAAAAAUUUUUAUAGUAAAUAUUCUCUGGGUCACAAAUUUUUGGAACCUUCAAAUUUCAUGCAAUAAAAUAUUAAAUUUAACCCCACGCAAGACAAAGGAAAUUCAGUAUUUAGAAGGCCUAAAUGUCAUUUUUGCCACACAAAGAGAAGACUGACUUUACGUAUAUUUCACUGCAAAUUGCACACUGGUUUGGAUCUACAUUCCUUAUAAAAGAUUGGAUUUUUUGUUUGUUUUUGUCCUAAAUUUUUAGAAAAUUUCCAUCUAUCAGUAAGCUACCAAGGCCAUGAUUUUACUAAUAUUUACCAGAGUAUUUACUGACUGAUAAAAACUCUUUACUGUGACCAUGUUUUUAAUUAGAAAGUGUCAUGAAUUUACUAUAAUGGAAUAUUUUGCUGAUUAUAAUAAAAUCUUGUUUUGUCAGGAAAAACUUCCUCUUUGCAAUGUGUAGACAAUGUUACAAAGUUCACAGGACCACAGUAAGGACUGACUAGGAUUGAUAAUAUUUACCACAGUACUAGGCACUUAUAAUAAUGGUAACUAUGAUUAUUACCAAAAUAGAAGGUUAAGAAUGAAUGUGAAAGAGAUCAGAACUGACUGACCCUCAGAAGUCUAUUUAGCUUUACAAGAUACUCUACCAGAAAGACCCCUCCCUCUUUUAAAUUAUGAAUCGAUAUUAUUCUAAAAGGCAUACUUUAAGGACAGCAAAGGAAAUCCAGGAAAUCUCUCUCUCUAAUAAACCUGUAAAUUACAUAUGAAAACCAUGACAGAACUAAGAUAGUAUUCUCAGUUUUUUGAAACAUCCUUCAACUAAGAAAUUCCAAAUAACUUUACUAAAGUUAUAGAAACAAUACCACAUAAGUUAAAAACUGCAACUGAUUCCUCCAAAAUUCUCCAAAUUUAUCUACAACACAUUACAAAUUCCAAAACUCCUAAAUAGUCUAUACUAUAAUUAGUUCAUGAUAAUUAAAUCAUACUGUCAGCUUAAGCUAUGGUAGAAAAUAAUUAAAUGCUCAAAAUGUUAAUGUACAAUGUCUUCCAACAAACCAUGAAUGAUAACCUGUUAUAUGAGAUAUAAAAAUGAAAAAGUUACUUUGGAGGAAAAAAAUGUUUAAGAUUAGAGAGUUAGAUUUCUUUUUGGGGGGAAUAAUUUAAUGAGAUAUUUUAAUGAACAGUGUUGGUCAUCUUCAAGUAAAACUAUAUAGCAGUAAAAUAUCAGCAGUGAUAGCCACAUGGUCUAUUUUCAUAAAAUAGUGAAAUAAUAGGUCUAAAAUUAGUGAAUUAUAUACAGAAUAGAAAUCCCUAGAAUACAGUAUUAAGUGGAAAAUUUUUCUUUGCAUUUCUCUAUUCUAAUAAAAUACAGAAAUAUUCUUCUUAAACAUGCAUUUUUCUACCUAAUGGUAUCUAUUUAGUUAAUAAAAUUUAUUUAAGUAGAAACAUCAAAUAAAGAUAUGACCAAUACACUUGUGGAAUACAGUUAAUUAAGAUCCUCUUCACAUUAAAUUGUAGGGACCAUCCUUGUUUCUCAGAUGACUAGCACAGUGCCUGACAUACAUAAGAUGCUCAAUAAAUGUUUAAUGAAUAACUAAGUACAAUCUGUUUUGCACAUACAUUCGAAAUACAGACAAGUUUGCAAAGGUACAUAAGUUGGACAUAGGCUUUCUGGCUGACUUCCUGGGGUCCCACUGAUGACUAGGAGUAAAUCUUCAUAUCCAUAGAAAACUGGAAAGUUGAUAAUUGUCUGGGUAAGGACCAAAAAAACAAAGUCAGGGAAACAUGUCACCUAAGUAAUGGUUGCUUUAUAGAGCUGGUAAAAGCAGCCUAACUAUUCCAAUAACCUAUUGUACCAGUUACUCAAUGAAAUGAAAUCUAAGUGUAUUCUGAAUGUUUGCUAGAAUCUUUUUAACAGGAAUUUUUUUGAUUAACCUUUAUUUAAAAUAAAUCAUUUUCAUCAAGUUGUAGCCCAUACAGAAUAUGUUUUUACUUAUUAUGAAUACUAUUGGUUAACAGGAUUUAAUUUGGCUAUUCGAAAAAGGGAGAACCACAGUGAAGUUAGAAAAAAUCUUCAUAGUAGUGAAUAAAUUGUAGCAGGAAGGAAAGGAAAAAGGAUGAAAAAGAAGGAAUU